rnacentral:misc_RNA from 1 species
GUCUUCCCGGGCCCACCAUUUGCAUUUGUGAAUGGUGGUUAGUUUGGGUUUACCUGAUCCUGACGGUUUGCUGUCAGGUGUUUGCGAUGGUUGGGGCUGUAGCUCAGCUGGGAGAGCACCUGCUUUGCAAGCAGGGGGUCAGCGGUUCGAUCCCGCUCAGCUCCACCAAUUCGCUUGGUGUCGAGACUGAGAGAUAUCCUUUGAAGAAAUAAAAGUUUUGCAUCGGCUAAGGCCUGAUGCCUGUUCUGCAUACAUUGUGAAGAGAAGAUUGAUCUGGAGGCUUCCAGGUGUUGGGUUUUGCCCUUUUGGGUUUAAUUCGGCGUCCGAGCCCAGUUCUGUUGAUCCUAUGGAUGGCCUAGCCGGCCGGAUAUAGGGGAAGGACUGGAGGUAGGAAGGAAGCUUGUCGCUCUGGGUCGUUGUUGUUUGCUUGAUCUCUAGGGAUGAAGCAUCUGACGGACGACUUGAUUACCGUUGCCUGACCGCGCGGUAUCGGAUCCAAUCUCGAGAAGCUGGUCUUAAGACCUGACACAAGCGAGCUGCUCGGCGUAGCUCCAAUAAAGUGAUCAGGUCGAACACGUCGAUGGCAUUGUUGGAUUGACUGGGUUGUAAAAGGUAACCCGGUCUGUUGCCGUUUCUUAUGAAACGGGCAACGAGAUGAUGAGCAUUGGCAAUGAGAACGAUUAAGUGUCGUAAGGGCAUUUGGUGGAUGCCUUGGCAUGCACAGGCGAUGAAGGACGUGAUACGCUGCGAAAAGCCGUGGGGAGCUGCGAAUGAGCUUUGAUCCAUGGAUCUC